AGAACGAACGCUGGCGGCAGGCUUAACACAUGCAAGUCGAACGCCCCGCAAGGGGAGUGGCAGACGGGUGAGUAACGCGUGGGAACGUACCCUUCGGUUCGGAACAACUCCGGGAAACUGGAGCUAAUACCGGAUACGUCCUGCCCCCUUAAACAAGGGUGGGAGAAAGAUUUAUCGCCGAGGGAUCGGCCCGCGUCGGAUUAGCUAGUUGGUGGAGUAACGGCCCACCAAGGCGACGAUCCGUAGCUGGUCUGAGAGGAUGAUCAGCCACACUGGGACUGAGACACGGCCCAGACUCCUACGGGAGGCAGCGAGUGGGGAAUAUUGGUCAAGUGGGCGAAAGCCUGAACCAGCCAUGCCGCGUGAGUGAAGAAGGCCUUAGGGUUGUAAAGCUUCUUCAGGCGGGACGAUAAGUGGACGGUACCCGCGAAGAACGAACGCCCCGGUACUAACCGUUCCGUGACCAGCACGCCGGAC
rnacentral:rRNA from 1 species